rnacentral:tmRNA from 1 species
GGGGAUGAACGGUCUCGACGGGGCAGGCUGUUCAGAGAGUGCAGGCCGUAGAGCGUCGACUACGUUAAAACAGGCGUAACCAUACAAAUGCCAAAAACACUGGCAAGGCUUUUGCGUUCGGCACCCCGGCCACUUCGAUGGCCAUGGCCGCCUAACCAAAUGCCAAGACACUGACCUUCCAAGGAAGGUCACGGCCCACCUUGACGGCGCAACCAAGUCAGAGUGUUAGCCGACAUCUAUUGGAGUGCUGCGACAGCAGAUGCUGGUAUUGCUGUCUAAGACAAGCCAGCUAGCCCGUUUUCAAACUCCGCCGCAUGGGGUUGAACGGGUGAAGCGCUAAACAUGUGGCUAAGCCUGUAGAAGUCUUUGGACGAAUGUUUCGGACGCGGGUUCAACUCCCGCCAUCUCCACCU